AAUUAUAUUUGGGUCGUUACAGCGCCGCCAGCGGCGGCGGUUCCGAGCUCCUCGUGCGCACGCGCCCCGCCCACUACGGGGCCCUCUGCCGCGCGGCGCGCCGCCAGGGCGCUGAGCCCUUAACCUCUGGGUGCCCGACGCCUUCGCCGUCGCGUGGCGCGACCCCGCCGCGCCCGGGGGGCUCGACUUCGUGGUCGACCCGCUCGACGGAACCUGCCGCCAGUCUCGUGAUCUGCUCGCUUCCCCGUCCCCUCCACCAAAACGGUCACAGAAGCACGACGGCGGCUACGUGCGGGAGUAGAAGUAGGCGAGUGCCGGCGGGAGCAUGGCUUGGCUCCUCUCCAUCCAUCUGCGAUGGUGGCGGCUCAUCUCCCCGCCCAGGUGAAGGAGGCGGCGUGGUAGCUGCGAGCCACCCCCCGUGGAUGUGAGGCCGAGGCCUUCUGGAAAAGCAAGUGUACUUAGGUGAUUUGCUGAGUCCUCGAGCAUUCAGUUAUGCUACCACAGGAAAUAUUUUUCUGUGUUUCCUUCCCAGCAGGCCGGGUGAAGGAGGCGGGAGCAUGAUUUUUCUGUAUUUCCUUCCCAUAUAAUAAACUGUGUCAGGUUGCUGUUUAGAUACGUGGUGAAUUGACUAUCCCAAGUCAGCUUUCACAUAUAACAUAAAAUAUUUUGGGGUUAUAAUCUCUACUAAUCCCUACUGAGCGAGGAACAUUUAACCUAAAGGAUGGCAUGAAGGUGAUAUAGGACAUCUUGUGCAAAGGAGACGAGUAGUCUGUGUGUAUAGGUACUAUAUUUUCUGCUUGUGGCAUUUCAGUUUGUUACCAGUGUGCAUCUCAAAGUAUGAAUAUGAGAGUUUUUUUUAAUUAAUUGUGCUAACUCAUAUAUGAUGCCCUUUUUUGAUUGAUUGUGCUAAUUGACAAAUAUUAACAUCGUAGCUAAUCUCUCCAUAUAAAUGCAGUUGUUUUUACCUCAACUAGAUGUACACAGAUGAUAGCACCACCAAGGCGCAUUCAGGCUUUUAGAGGUAACAAUCGCAAGUGGUGCCUUGCAUUCAUCACUGCACUCUGUAAUUAUAUGCAACAUGAACUUACAUAACUGCAAUUACAUGCUGUUUCAGAAUUCUCUUUAUAAACAAAAAUGGUUAUAUUUCACUGUUGUAAAUAUAAGAAUGAUUUCCAUACCCCUUUUAUGGAGUAGCCUUGUCUAUGUACCUCUUGUGUUUUGUUGGCGAACCACAUUCUUGGAGAAAAAAAAGGUAGAAAUUAAUUACUCGUGUCUAUUCUGGUAUUGAUCAUUAUGUGGCUGGAUCUAAAUAUAUAUCUAACUAAGUUUCUACUUUCUAUAUUGCAGAAAGGCACUGGAGCAAAGGGCAUGGUGCAUGCCAGUCAGUAGCUAUUUUUACAACGCGGGGGAUAAAUGGAGGGGCACAAUACUUUUUUCGCGAACGUGCCUUGGCACGUAUUUCAUUAAGAAGAAAGCAGUUUACAAACAGUUCUUGGAGCCGCCAAACAGGGCUUGACCGACCCAAGAGAACUAAGGAUAAACGACAGAGAAACACUGAAAAAGGACUACAAACCCAACGCACAGCAACAAACGACACAUACAACAGAAGAAGCAUGAAGAGGGAAGCCACAACCAGCUUAGCUACCCAACCGGCAACCCUAGAACUAAACCUGCACAAAGGAUACACCAUCACCGAGGAUGCCUUCCAAACGGUGGCAAACCAUCCACCCGACAGCAGUACACGACGGCAAAGCAUCCGCCAGAGAAGGAGAAAGGUGGCAUAGCAUCCACCCACAUCAGAUAUGGCGGCAAAGCAUCCGCCCAAGAGAAACGGUGGCAAAGCAUCCACCUAUCACGACCUGAGCGGCGAAGCAUCCACUCAGAGCAAGCACCAGUAGCACGACGGCGUCCAAGCAUCCGCCCGGUGGCAAAGCAUCUACCCAAGUACGACCCUGGCGGCAAAGCAUCCGCCUAAACAACGACCUAGACGGCAAAGCAUCCGUCCGAGAGCAACCACGAUCCGCAAGACGGCAAAGCAUCCGCCACGCAAAGCAACCAAGGCAACCUGAGUGAUGGUGGGCAACAUGAAACGAAGGCAGGUUCAGCAGCCGCCGUCGUGACGCCGAGAAUGACAAUACUGUGAACCAGUUUGGUGAUAGCAGUCCAGGGCCAUCCAAAAGAAGAUAGAGGAGACAUGCUGGUCGUGGUGGGUUGGUAGGUCACAAAUUGGCUAUGGUGGCGUGGCAGAGGAGCAGAUCCAUGGUCCACAUCAACGGUGGUGGUGACAAAGGAGAAGAUGGCAGCAGUGUUAAAGGAAGAGAAGGCCGCGGACAGCACCGCAGGAAAUGGGUUUCAUAAAGUAAAGAUUUCCAGUGGAUUUAUUGAAGUGAGGGGCUCAGGUUCUUUGGACCAUUUGGGCAUGCAUAUGCAGUCCAUGACAUCAGUCAUGAGAGGUGUCAAUUUUAAUUAUGCUUUGCUGGACUUUAUAAAGCAGGCAAGGUGUUUGCAGCAAUUCCUUGCUGAAACUUUUGAUCCUUUUAAUGGUUAACAUUAUUCAAUUGAAAUGUAAUUCAGUGAUGCAUCUUGUAGCAGCACUGCAGCAGGAGCUUCAGAUGUAGGUGAGGCGGUGCCAAGCUUUGUACUCUGUUAUUUGUUUAUUGAGACAAUUGGCGGAUGCAUGGUUACAACAUAAUGAUGCAAAGGCUUGAUGAUUGGUUCCCUGUACUCAGCAGUAGGCCUGGCUCGUCAGAUGCAAAAGGCCACUCCGAGCCAGGCUCCCAAGAUACGCAGGAAAUGAUCGUUUUUCCCAUAGCCUCGCUGGCCACCGUGCAAAGACCCAAGCAGCCGGUCUGCUUGCAGCUAAAUAGGCUAGCAAUCGCAAGGACUAAAUAGAAGGUCCUUGCACCUCAGGAGCCUGGCCAGCGGUGGCCUGCAUCGCUGGUGCGAGGCAGGCUCGACAGCGAAAGGAACCAAUCAGACUCAUGGUGAAUUCUUUGAAGACAAGGGUGCAUGCGCUAGAGAUCGUUUUGGAUAAGAUCUACUGUUAUGUGACUCUUUUUUUGAGAAGUUAAACAGGAUCUGGCCUGGCCAUUUACUCCCUGUUUGGAUGGCUGAUCCGCUAGGCUGGUUGCUGAUCCGCUUGGCAGGUGGCUGAUCUCGCAGACCCUGUGCUCCCCGCCGCGCUCGCGGAAUAGUGUUGCCAGCCAGCCCAGCCAACCGAACAAGCCAUUAGAUAGUUGUAUAUUACAGUGUCAUAUAUGAACAAGCAUAUGUGAAAAUGAUCUUAUAAAAGAUGUACCAUAAAAAUGCUGCACUUCAUAAAUGAAUUCAGUUAAAGUAUUAA